GAGAAGAACGUAGCGAAAUGCGAUAAGUAAUGUGAAUUGCAGAAUUCAGUGAAUCAUCGAAUCUUUGAACGCACAUUGCGCCCCCUGGUAUUCCGGGGGGCAUGCCUGUUCGAGCGUCAUUUCACCACUCAAGCCUCGCUUGGUAUUGGGCAACGCGGUCCGCCGCGUGCCUCAAAUCGACCGGCUGGGUCUCCUGUCCCCUAAGCGUUGUGGAAACUAUUCGCUAAAGGGUGUUCGGGAGGCUACGCCGUAAAACAACCCCAUUUCUAAGGUUGACCUCGGAUCAGGUAGGGAUACCCGCUGAACUUAAGCAUAUCAAUAAGCGGAGGA
rnacentral:misc_RNA from 1 species